CAGGCCUAACACAUGCAAGUCGAGCGGUAACACAGGGAGCUUGCUCCUGGGUGACGAGCGGCGGACGGGUGAGUAAUGUCUGGGAAACUGCCUGAUGGAGGGGGAUAACUACUGGAAACGGUAGCUAAUACCGCAUAACGUCGCAAGACCAAAGAGGGGGACCUUCGGGCCUCUUGCCAUCAGAUGUGCCCAGAUGGGAUUAGCUAGUAGGUGGGGUAAUGGCUCACCUAGGCGACGAUCCCUAGCUGGUCUGAGAGGAUGACCAGCCACACUGGAACUGAGACACGGUCCAGACUCCUACGGGAGGCAGCAGUGGGGAAUAUUGCACAAUGGGCGCAAGCCUGAUGCAGCCAUGCCGCGUGUAUGAAGAAGGCCUUCGGGUUGUAAAGUACUUUCAGCGAGGAGGAAGGCGUUAAGGUUAAUAACCUUAGCGAUUGACGUUACUCGCAGAAGAAGCACCGGCUAACUCCGUGCCAGCAGCCGCGGUAAU
rnacentral:rRNA from 1 species